rnacentral:rRNA from 1 species
UACGGGGGGAGCAAGCGUUGUUCGGAUUUACUGGGCGUAAAGGGCGCGUAGGCGGCUUUGUAAGUCAGUGGUGAAAUACGGUAGCUCAACUAUCGAGGUGCCAUUGAUACUGCGGAGCUUGAGUACAGAUGAGGUAGGCGGAAUUGACGGUGUAGCGGUGAAAUGCUUAGAUAUCGUCAAGAACACCUAUAGCGAAGGCAGCUUACUAGGCUGUAACUGACGCUGAGGCACGAAAGUGUGGGGAUCAAACAGG